AGAUGUGGAUUUCCAAGGGUGAGUAUGAUGAGUCUGGUCCAUCCAUUGUCCACAGGAAAUGCUUUUAAGUUCUGAAAAAUGCUUUGAUGGCGAGUACUUUGUGCAUUUAGUUGGCUUUUUUCGUGUCAAGGUGUCAUGAACUUCAGUAUGGUUGAUAUGGAGAAGUGUUGAGAUUGAGUCAUUAAAGGAUGGUAAACUCUGUGUCAUGAACUUCAGUAUGGUUGAUAUGGAGAAGUGUUGAGAUUGAGUCAUUAAAGGAUGGUAAACUCUGAUGUAUCAAAUAGCUUUCCAUCUGUUGCAAUUCAUGUUGUAAUGUUCCCUUUGAAUUUAAAGGGCAACACUUUGGUACUCGUCAUUAC
rnacentral:lncRNA from 1 species